rnacentral:pre_miRNA from 1 species
UGAUCCAUUGUAUUCUUUUAAUCAAGAAAAUUACACUCGAGUAAUUGAGUAUGAGGGAUCCUCUCCAUUCAUUCAUCUUUUCGAGUGUAUUUUCUUGAUUAAAGAAAUUCGUUGGAUCA